rnacentral:tRNA from 1 species
UUAUAUUUCUAUUUAUAUAGUUUAAAAUAAAACCUUACAUUUUCAUUGUAAAAUUAAAUUUAUAUUUU